GGAGCCUUUCCUCUGUCUGGGAAGAGAGACAGAAAUGGGACUUCCAGGAUUGUGCAGGGGUUAAGCUGGAGUUUCCAAUGCAACAGACACAAGGAACACAAAAAGCUGAGCUGAGAGGAGACUCUUUGUGCAUCCUCAGAAGGGCUCUUAGCACUGUCACCACCCCGGAAGGCUUGCGGGUCUGGGAGACCUCUCUUUGGGCAGCUUAGAGAAGAGGCCACUAGGAAUGGACACAGUUCUGAACUGGAUCACUGCACAGGAGCUCUGCGGCAUGAUCAAACAUGGUUUGUAAUGCCUGUGCGGCAAGUGCUUCACCUGCUAAGCCACCCAAGACAGGCUGGCCUCAUAUUUGCUAUGCAUUGGAGGGUGACCUUGAAUUUCUGAGCCCCCUGCCUCCAUCUGCCAAGUUACCGGUAUGCACCACCCUGCUCAAUUUAUGCUGGGCUAGGCACCCAAUCUAGGACUUUGUGCCUUGUAGCCAAGCACUCUGCCGACUACCGUGCCUCCAGCCCACGUGUGGGGUGGGGUUGAGACCUGCUGGUGUAGUCCAGCUUGGCCUUGAACUCCACAUCUGGCUCAGGAUGACCCUGACCAUCUGAACCCCCUGCUUCUCUUGGCUGGAGUUACAGCAGUUCUGAACUUAGGAAGUUUGUCUCACCCUCCCACUGACUUAUUGAUAGCACUUCCUUCUAUCUGUGCGGAUUCUUGGCUGUAACUUUACAGCUGUGUACUCCUUUUGAUUUUAAUCUAACAUCAAUUUAGUUUGCUUCCUGCUUGGACUGGGCCAGGCUUGGCCACUGCUGCUCUUUUGGUGGCCUUUAAUAACUAUGUAUGUUUAAGCACUUCCUUAGUUCCUGGCCCAGAAAGGUUUUCCCGGCUAAUGCUAUUCCAGUCCUGGUCCUAAAAAUCUUGGUUAUCUUUCUUGAAUGAUUCUAGAAACAAGAUCUGCUGGACAGUAUUCCAUGCUGCACAUACAUGCUUUAUUCAAAUAGCCACUUAUGGAUUUGGCCUGGCAUGACUGCAGCCAUCUUAAAUUAUAAUUGCCCUAUAUUAGCCCUGGUUAAUCAGACAUGGUGCUGUGUGUACUCAGGAGGAAGAGACAAGUGAUCCACAUCUUCCCACCCUAUUCCCUGCUUCCUGUCUGGAAAUCCAAGAGCCUGACUGAAGGCUCUUAAAAAUUUUGCCAGACAGUAUUGCUACAUGCCUCUAAUUCCAGCACUCGGGAGGCAGAGGGAGGUGGAUCUCUGAACUCGAGGCUGUCCUGGUCUACGGAGUGAAUUCCAGGACAGCUAGGGCUACACAGAGAAAACCUGUCUUGGAAAAAAGAAAAAAAUAUGUUUUGUCUAUAUCUAUGCACCAUCAUGCAGUGCCCUCAGCCCAGAAGAGGGUACCAGAUCUAUAGCAGGCCUC